UACGUAGGGUGCGAGCGUUGUCCGGAAUUACUGGGCGUAAAGAACUCGUAGGUGGUUUGUCACGUCGUCUGUGAAAUUCCGGGGCUUAACCUCGGGCGUGCAGGCGAUACGGGCAAUACUUGAGUGCUGUAGGGGAGACUGGAAUUCCUGGUGUAGCGGUGAAAUGCGCAGAUAUCAGGAGGAACACCAAUGGCGAAGGCAGGUCUCUGGGCAGUUACUGACGCUGAGGAGCGAAAGCAUGGGUAGCGAACAGGAUUAGAUACCCGGGUA
rnacentral:rRNA from 1 species